GUGCAUGUCUCUGAGGAUUACCCAGAUAACACAUAUGUUUCCAGUUCAGAUAACGAUGAAGAUGUGUUAGUUACAACAGAGCCAAUCCCAGUAAUUUUCCACCAAAUUGCUACAGAAUUAAGGAAAACCAGCGAUGUCAACUACUGCUUAUCCAUAAAAUCAAAAUUGCAAAGAGAAAAAGGAGAGGAGUCCAGGCAUAACAGCACAGUUGAAGAGGAUUCUGAAGGAGAUAAUGAUUCUGAAGAAUUUUAUUAUGGAGGACAGGUUAGCUAUGAUGGAGAACUUCACAAGCACCCACAACUGGAAGCUGAUUUAACAGCAGUGAGAGAGAUCUAUGGACCUAAUGCAGUAUCU